CACCACCAUGCUUGGCCUAUUUAUUUUAUAACAGUGUCACAUGUGUUCCAGGCUGGCCUCUUACUCCUGUGCUGUGUAGGUGAAGAUGACCUUCACUUCUUGAUCCUACUGUCCACACCUUCAAAGCGCUGGGAUUCCAGAGGAACCUGAGACCCAGGUCACCCACACCGUACUCACCAUCCUUCCUGAAUUUUCCCUGAUGCCUUCGUCGGAGAAGGAGGAAGAUGAGGAUGAAGAGGAAGAGGAGGAAGGCCACAGAGACUCCGACCAGAGCCUUCAGUUCACCUGCCUCAGAUCACAUGACUGGAAGUGGCAGAGCUGGGAGUCGAACCCAGGGACUCUUCCAUCUCUUUACUCUUUGCCUGAGCUGAGCCUCCUGAGUUGGAGGGAAGGAGCCUGAAUGCCCUGCCCUGGAGCUGUGCCCCACCUUGCACAGACAGACCCA